AAAUUGAAGAGUUUGAUCAUGGCUCAGAUUGAACGCUGGCGGCAGGCCUAACACAUGCAAGUCGAACGGUAACAGGAAACAGCUUGCUGUUUCGCUGACGAGUGGCGGACGGGUGAGUAAUGUCUGGGAAACUGCCUGAUGGAGGGGGAUAACUACUGGAAACGGUAGCUAAUACCGCAUAACGUCGCAAGACCAAAGAGGGGGACCUUCGGGCCUCUUGCCAUCGGAUGUGCCCAGAUGGGAUUAGCUAGUAGGUGGGGUAACGGCUCACCUAGGCGACGAUCCCUAGCUGGUCUGAGAGGAUGACCAGCCACACUGGAACUGAGACACGGUCCAGACUCCUACGGGAGGCAGCAGUGGGGAAUAUUGCACAAUGGGCGCAAGCCUGAUGCAGCCAUGCCGCGUGUAUGAAGAAGGCCUUCGGGUUGUAAAGUACUUUCAGCGGGGAGGAAGGGAGUAAAGUUAAUACCUUUACUCAUUGACGUUACCCGCAGAAGAAGCACCGGCUAACUCCGUGCCAGCAGCCGCGGUAAUACGGAGGGUGCAAGCGUUAAUCGGAAUUACUGGGCGUAAAGCGCACGCAGGCGGUUUGUUAAGUCAGAUGUGAAAUCCCCGGGCUCAACCUGGGAACUGCAUCUGAUACUGGCAAGCUUGAGUCUCGUAGAGGGGGGUAGAAUUCAGGUGUAGCGGUGAAAUGCGUAGAGAUCUGGAGGAAUACCGGUGGCGAAGGCGGCCCCCUGGACGAAGACUGACGCUCAGGUGCGAAAGCGUGGGGAGCAAACAGGAUUAGAUACCCUGGUAGUCCACGCCGUAAACGAUGUCGACUUGGAGGUUGUGCCCUUGAGGCGUGGCUUCCGGAGCUAACGCGUUAAGUCGACCGCCUGGGAGUACGGCCGCAAGGUUAAAACUCAAAUGAAUUGACGGGGGCCCGCACAAGCGGUGGAGCAUGUGGUUUAAUUCGAUGCAACGCGAAGAACCUUACCUGGUCUUGACAUCCACAGAACUUUCCAGAGAUGGAUUGGUGCCUUCGGGAACUGUGAGACAGGUGCUGCAUGGCUGUCGUCAGCUCGUGUUGUGAAAUGUUGGGUUAAGUCCCGCAACGAGCGCAACCCUUAUCCUUUGUUGCCAGCGGUCCGGCCGGGAACUCAAAGGAGACUGCCAGUGAUAAACUGGAGGAAGGUGGGGAUGACGUCAAGUCAUCAUGGCCCUUACGACCAGGGCUACACACGUGCUACAAUGGCGCAUACAAAGAGAAGCGACCUCGCGAGAGCAAGCGGACCUCAUAAAGUGCGUCGUAGUCCGGAUUGGAGUCUGCAACUCGACUCCAUGAAGUCGGAAUCGCUAGUAAUCGUGGAUCAGAAUGCCACGGUGAAUACGUUCCCGGGCCUUGUACACACCGCCCGUCACACCAUGGGAGUGGGUUGCAAAAGAAGUAGGUAGCUUAACCUUCGGGAGGGCGCUUACCACUUUGUGAUUCAUGACUGGGGUGAAGUCGUAACAAGGUAACCGUAGGGGAACCUGCGGUUGGAUCACCUCCUUA
rnacentral:rRNA from 1 species